GUGGGGGAUAUUGCACAAUGGGGGAAACCCUGAUGCAGCGACGCCGCGUGUGGGAAGACGGUCCUCUGGAUUGUAAACCACUGUCCUCAGGGACGAACAAGGACGGUACCUGAGGAGGAAGCUCCGGCUAACUACGUGCCAGCAGCCGCGGUAAUACGUAGGGAGCAAGCGUUGUCCGGAAUUACUGGGUGUAAAGGGAGCGUAGGCGGGACCGCAAGUUGGAUGUGAAAUCUACCGGCUCAACUGGUAGCUGCAUUCAAAACUGCGAUUCUUGAGUGAAGUAGAGGCAGGCGGAAUUCCUAGUGUAGCGGUGAAAUGCGUAGAUAUUAGGAGGAACACCAGUGGCGAAGGCGGCCUGCUGGGCUUUUACUGACGCUGAGGCUCGAAAGUGUGGGGAGCAAACAGGAUUAGAAACCCUAGUAGUCC
rnacentral:rRNA from 1 species